rnacentral:tRNA from 1 species
AGAGCAGUGGUUAAGUUGCUGCUUGAAACACCUGCCUCCUAUAUCAGAGAGCCUGGGUUUGAAUCCCAGCUCUUCUU